AUUGAACGCUGGCGGCAGGCCUAACACAUGCAAGUCGAACGGUAACAGGAAGAAGCUUGCUUCUUUGCUGACGAGUGGCGGACGGGUGAGUAAUGUCUGGGAAACUUCCUGAUGGAGGGGGAUAACUACUGGAAACGGUAGCUAAUACCGCAUAACGUCGCAAGACCAAAGAGGGGGACCUUCGGGCCUCUUGCCAUCGGAUGUGCCCAGAUGGGAUUAGCUAGUAGGUGGGGUAACGGCUCACCUAGGCGACGAUCCCUAGCUGGUCUGAGAGGAUGACCAGCCACACUGGAACUGAGACACGGUCCAGACUCCUACGGGAGGCAGCAGUGGGGAAUAUUGCACAAUGGGCGCAAGCCUGAUGCAGCCAUGCCGCGUGCAUGAAGAAGGCCUUCGGGUUGUAAAGUACUUUCAGCGGGGAGGAAGGGAGUAAAGUUAAUACCUUUACUCAUUGACGUUACCCGCAGAAGAAGCACCGGCUAACUCCGUG
rnacentral:rRNA from 1 species